AUUUAAGUAGUUUAAUUGUAAAAUAAAGAUUUGUGGAUUCUUUGAUGUUUAAUGUAACCUUAAGUU
rnacentral:tRNA from 1 species